rnacentral:misc_RNA from 1 species
GCCGGAAUUCCACCCCAUCCCAAAAAUUGGCCCAAAAGAUGGUACACUAAAGGCUGAUCGUCGAAUCCGAUCUGGUGUUCUUGCCUGUUCUGCUUCCCGCUUAACUCGCAAUCAAUUCCACUUGAGUUCAGCGAUACAUCACGCACCAAAGGAACAGUUAUGGAACAGGGAACAGUGAAAUGGUUUAACGACGCGAAGGGAUUCGGCUUUCUGAGCCGUGCCAACGGCGAAGACGUGUUCGUCCACCACACAGCCAUCAAGAGCGAAGGCUUUCGUUCGCUUAAAGAAGGCCAGGCGGUUGAGUUUGACGUCGUGAAAGGGCCAAAAGGCUGGCAGGCAGAGAACGUCAGGGCUCUGUAGUUGAUUGAAGCACCGGGAAGAGGCCGUUUUCGACAUUUUCCCGGU